rnacentral:rRNA from 1 species
UAGGGAAUCUUCGGCAAUGGACGAAAGUCUGACCGAGCAACGCCGCGUGAGUGAAGAAGGUUUUCGGAUCGUAAAACUCUGUUGUUAGAGAAGAACAAGGACGUUAGUAACUGAACGUCCCCUGACGGUAUCUAACCAGAAAGCCACGGCUAACUACGUGCCAGCAGCCGCGGUAAUACGUAGGUGGCAAGCGUUGUCCGGAUUUAUUGGGCGUAAAGCGAGCGCAGGCGGUUUCUUAAGUCUGAUGUGAAAGCCCCCGGCUCAACCGGGGAGGGUCAUUGGAAGCUGGGAGACUUGAGUGCAGAAGAGGAGAGUGGAAUUCCAUGUGUAGCGGUGAAAUGCGUAGAUAUAUGGAGGAACACCAGUGGCGAAGGCGGCUCUCUAGUCUGUAACUGACGCUGAGGCUCGAAAGCGUGGGGAGCAAACAGG